AUGGAGAAGCUCUCCCGGACGAACUACGUCCUGUGGCGCACCCAAAUCUCGCCGCAGUUGAGGGGAGCCGGCCUCUAUGGCUACGUCGACGGCACUCUGACGGAGCCGUCCCGCCUCCUCGUCACCAAGGACAAGGAGGGGAAGGAGUCGACCGAGCUCAACCCUCUCCAUCCCAUCUGGGUGAGCGAGGACCAGCAGGUUCUGGGCUACCUACUCAACAACCUCACAAAAGAGGUGCUCGUCGCGGUCACCACCGCGCAUGCUCUGUGGACAGUGCUUGCAGGUAUGUUCUCGUCGCAGUCUUUGAGCCGCGUUAACAACAUCCGCACUGCCUUGAUCAAUGCG
rnacentral:rRNA from 1 species